CUGCGGGGCCGGCCCGGGCCCCGCCGCGCUGGUCCCGGCAGCAUUGCGGUCCGGCGGCGCGCCCCGCCCGCGGCUCCCGAGAGCGCGAGGCAGCAGGACACGGCGAGCGGUUAUGUAAGCGCAUCCCCUGCUCGGCCUUGCGGCCGCCACCCCCAAAAUGCUACACAGCCCGGGAGGCAGCGACGCGAAGGCGGCGGCCGGAUGAGCAGAGAACCCCUUCCAGCUCAGCCCACGCCGAACCAUCCUCCUCCGUCCGGUGCGCUCUCCCCCAAAUCCAGAGCGAGGGUUCCGCGCAGUGGUGUCUUCGGACGCUGCAGGAUCUCGCAAGCUUGUUUUGUUUUUCCGCGGAGGAGCAUGGGCGGGGGUUUAAGGCGUUUGGAAGCCUUAAUCCCUACCCACUGUCCACCAAAGCGUCCUGACGUCCUGAAGCCAUGCGGUGAAUGAACGAGCUCCUGAAGUGGAACUGCACCCUGAGGCCACCGUUGUUGUCAGUGGCUGGCCCAGUUUGAGCCAGGGCUCUUUGCCCAACUCCAGCAGGCUUUUGCCUCCCUUUGACAGGACGCAGCAGUGAGCCUACCUGACUUCUGCCAAACCUCCAAAGGCCUUCUUCCUCAAGGACUCCAGGGCCAGCUUCCGUGCUCUCUUCCCACCCUGCUACAGAAGUAGAUAGUAAAGAACACUCUAGAUAAAAUAUGACAGUCCCUCAAAGGCGGAUUGUCUCAGGCAGAAAUGCGUGUGGCAUCUGAGAACUAUUUGCACACACACAUAGACACACACAGGUCUCCAUACCCUUGGGGGGGGGGGCAGACCCCCGCCCUCUUUCCUCUUAAAUCAGAAAGGAGUGGCAAUGUUGACACUCAGUGACCUUCGGCCUCCUUCUCAGAGAGACAGCAGGUCAUCACCCAUAGAAGAAAGGAAGUGAAAGAAAAAGUUCAAGUCUUCAUAGAGUACAAAUGCUGAGAUCGAAAGACCAACAGGGAGGGAAGGAAGUCCACGCGCCAAGCCGGACAAGCAGGUCUCCACGUGCGUGCCUGCCUGCAGGGAGGAAUCGGUCUCCAUUUUACCCGUAAGUCUUCCUGCAGGGGGGAACAGGUGAAUGGAAAGAAACAGACCAAGCCCUAAUGACAUCACUGUCCAUCUUCCCCGCCACCAUCAGCCCACUUCCCUCACAACACUGAUGAAAGGAAAAAAAAGAAAGACUCCAAAGGAACACACGCCACAAACUCCGUGGUAAUGUGAAUCACUCCUGUAGGACAUGAUUCUCCAUCCCAGAAAAGCCAGCAGCACCUUUACAACACACAGAGAUCAAAGCUGGAGACUGGGGAACUGGCUCACAUGAUGCUUCUCCCCUAAGAUGAGGAUCUGAUGUUUAUGGGAAAGAAAACAGGGAACAGGUGGAGCAUUAAACCUCUGUGUGUCCUCUGGUGGGACUUUGAAAACGCUAAACUCAUCUCUGUGCAGGGCCUAAUAAUUGAAAAUGUGUCCUUAAAGCUGCUCUUCUCCAAGGCCUACUUUGGAUCAUGGCUAGGUGACAGGUGUCCUUCUGGGUCACUACUUCCUCCACAAAAUAAAUAUGCUACAGG
rnacentral:lncRNA from 1 species